AUUAUUUUUAAAAAAACUCUUUUUCAGUUGAUGGAUUCUGUAGAGUCUAAGUACGCACAUGAUUUUGAUAAAAUUGAUCAGACCAAUUGUGAUUAUGGGAAGGAGAAGGCUUGGAAUAUAGAUGUUGACAAGGUUAUCGAGAAGAUAAGUGGAGGUGGAACAGAUGAAGAUUCGAUAACUGAGUUCACCAGUGAAACUGAUACUAUUGAUCAACUAGUGGAGAAAGCUAAAGAAUCCAACAUUAUCUAAUAAUUUGAACAAUUAUCAAAAUUAUUUUGAUAUUUACAAAAUAUUAUUCUAACAUUUAUAUCAUUAUAUCGUUAAUCUGCUUAGUGACAUUUCAUCAGAAAUGAAAAUAAAAAUUUUUUUGUA